CUCACCCGCCGGCUUCUCUCUGCCUCCUGGCUGGAUCCCAGUGCACCUCUGGCUCCGGGCAGUCUCUGCUUCCCACCACCUGGGGGCCCCCACCUGUCUCCCUGGAGCUGAGCCGCCUGGGACUGAUGCAGAAGCCUGCCUAGGAAGAAUGGAGGUUGUGGUCUCACAAGACAUGUGAACAUGUCACCUGAUACUGGAAUCCUUCUAAAUGGAAAAGCACCAGGUUUAAGAUGGAGGGGUGUGGACCCAGAGAGACAAAAGAUUCCCACCUUGUGCCAAAGCUAUAAAAGGGGGUGGAAAGGAACAAAGAGGCUGCAGCCAUGAGAAAGCCCCUGUUUUCCACUUAAGAUGUCUGUUGGAACUAACAAGGACUGUACCAAGGAAAAGGAUUGGGCCUAGACUAGCAAGGAGUCUAGUCUGUGAAAGAAGCUUAUUGGAACAUCUCUGAGGGUGAGAUUGACCUGUAUUCAGUUUCUUAAUGUAUUAGGCUUAGUCUUGCAUGUUUUUGCUUGGUAACUUACUUUGUUCUGUCUGUUAUUACUUGAAACCAUUUAAAUCCUACUUUUUAAUACUUAAUACAAUCAUUUUGAUUUA